CAAGCAAACCCCCACUGUCACAUUUACUCCAAAGUGUGUUUUGUGGUGAAUGUAGUGGUCAGAAUGUUACACAGACAACUGCUUCAGUAGAAGCAUGCAAAUAAUCAGAUGUGCAAGUAAUCAAAUUACAAUGUUACAAAAUCUCAUUAAAUAAUGGGACCUAGAAACUGUGAGUUAGAUUUAUUACUGGAAUGAACAGAUACCAUUCAUGGAAAUUAUAGGAUAAUUGAAAAAAACUGUAGAAUAUGUGGAUUUUAGGGAAAGAAAAUUUGCAUUAAUAUCUUUUCUGCCUUCUUUUCCAUCUCCUCUUAAUAUGCAGCCAUUUACUACUCUCUGUUUUUGCUCUGUGGUCUUGCUGUCAUCUUUUCCUGACUACACCCUUUCCAUAACUCAGUGCAGCACUAGAUCCAGGAAAUCAGUUUUGCCUGCUACUAUGAAGUAUGUACUGUUUUUGAGUGCUCCUCUCAGCCAAAAAUCAGUUCUUCAACUUUGGCUCUUCUUGUUUCACUCUACGAUUAAUCCUUCCUAGGUCACUAGGGAGUUUAGCCACAGAGGAGCUCACUUUCUCUCUUGUAAGAGGAAAUGCCCUUGAAGGUGCCUUGAGCCCCUUCCAAGGAGCUUUGGGAAGAUAAAUAGCAUGUCUGUGCUGUCCACAUUGAUCAGCUGCAAACUUUGCACCUACUUCUUAUCUUCCCUUGUCCACAAAGGCUGCCUGUCACUGUGCACAUGCAAAUGCAGCCUCAAUAGGUGGCUCUGUAAUUAAGAAAUUCAGAUGUAUGUGAUAGCUGCACCCACAGCUCAGCUUCACCUCUUUCCAAGCAUGGCUGAUGCCCCUCUACUCCAAAAGGUUGUUGAGACCCCCACAGUGAAGAUGUACUUGGUGUUCAGCACCUGAAUUAUGAACACAGUUCUAUAUUUUGUGAGUGUGAUUAAAAGCAGUCACAUCAUAGAGAAAUGGAUUUGUAGAAGAUUUUGCAAAGGAGAUCAAUGAGAGCAGGAGUCCAAGGACAAGCAACAAGAUUGAUUGAUUCCCUUCCUUGACAGCUCAGGACCAGAACCACUAACAGAUGCUGCAGAGAAGCUCACUGUGCACAUUUUUGAUCCACAUUGUGUACAUCAGUGUAGCAUGUUCGUAAGCUAAGGGAGUAGGAUAUUGUUGACCUGAACACCACUGAAAGCAUUUGCACUCACAAAAAAAUAUGAUCUCUGUUUAAUAAAGCAACACAUGACUUGCAUAAA